rnacentral:rRNA from 1 species
AGGGAGCUUGACUGUGAGACUGACGGGUCGAGCAGGGACGAAAGUCGGGACUAGUGAUCCGGCACCGGCAUGUGGAAGCGGUGUCGCUCAACGGAUAAAAGGUACCCCGGGGAUAACAGGCUGAUCUUCCCCAAGAGUCCAUAUCGACGGGAUGGUUUGGCACCUCGAUGUCGGCUCGUCGCAUCCUGGGGCUGGAGUAGGUCCCAAGGGUUGGGCUGUUCGCCCAUUAAAGCGGCACGCGAGCUGGGUUUAGAACGUCGUGAGACAGUUCGGUCUCUAUCCGCCGCGCGCGUUAGAAACUUGAGGAAGGCUGUCCCUAGUACGAGAGGACCGGGACGGACGAACCUCUGGUGUGCCAGUUGUUCCGCCAGGGGCAUGGCUGGUUUGCUACGUUCGGAAGGGAUAACCGCUGAAAGCAUCUAAGCGGGAAGCCUGUUCCUAGAUGAGGUUUCUCACCCCUUGAAGGGGGUAAGGCUCCCAAUAGACGAUUGGGUUGAUAGGCCGGAACUGGAAGCGCGGUAACGUGUGGAGGUGACCGGUACUAAUAGGCCGAGGGCUUACCAACG